rnacentral:rRNA from 1 species
CAGUCGAGGGGCAGCAUGGUGUAGCAAUACACUGAUGGCGACCGGCAAACGGGUGCGGAACACGUACAGAACCUUCCUUCAAGCGGGGAAUAGCCCAGAGAAAUUUGGAUUAAUACCCCAUAGCAUAAUGGAGUGGCAUCACUUUGUUAUUAAAGAUUUAUCACUUGAAGAUGGCUGUGCGGCUGAUUAGGUAGUUGGCGGGGUAACGGCCCACCAAGCCUGCGAUCAGUAACUGGUGUGAGAGCACGACCAGUCACACGGGCACUGAGACACGGGCCCGACUCCUACGGGAGGCAGCAGUAAGGAAUAUUGGUCAAUGGACGAAAGUCUGAACCAGCCAUGCCGCGUGGAGGAUGAAGGUCCUCUGGAUUGUAAACUUCUUUUAUCUGGGACGAAAAAAGGUCUUUCUAGAUCGUCUGACGGUACCAGAUGAAUAAGCACCGGCUAACUCCGUGCCAGCAGCCGCGGUAAUACGGAGGGUGCAAGCGUUAUCCGGAUUCACUGGGUUUAAAGGGUGCGUAGGUGGGUUGGUAAGUCAGUGGUGAAAUCUUCGAGCUUAACUCGGAAACUGCCAUUGAUACUAUCAGUCUUGAAUAUUGUGGAGGUUAGCGGAAUAUGUCAUGUAGCGGUGAAAUGCUUAGAUAUGACAUAGAACACCAAUUGCGAAGGCAGCUGGCUACACAUAUAUUGACACUGAGGCACGAAAGCGUGGGGAUCAAACAGGAUUAGAUACCCUGGUAGUCCACGCCCUAAACUAUGGAUACUCGACAUACGCG